UACGGAGGGUCCAAGCGUUAUCCGGAAUCAUUGGGUUUAAAGGGUCCGUAGGCGGUUUUGUAAGUCAGUGGUGAAAGCCCAUCGCUCAACGGUGGAACGACCAUUGAUACUGCAAGACUUGAAUUAUUAGGAAGUAACUAGAAUAUGUAGUGUAGCGGUGAAAUGCUUAGAUAUUACAUGGAAUACCAAUUGCGAAGGCAGGUUACUACUAAUAUAUUGACGCUGAUGGACGAAAGCGUGGGGAGCGAACAGG
rnacentral:rRNA from 1 species